rnacentral:rRNA from 1 species
CCUACGGGAGGCAGCAGUGAGGAAUAUUGGUCAAUGGGCGCGAGCCUGAACCAGCCAAGCCGCGUGAGGGAUGAAGGUACAGAGUAUCGUAAACCUCUUUUGUCAGGGAACAAAGGCGGGGACGUGUCCCCGGAUGAGUGUACCUGAAGAAAAAGCAUCGGCUAACUCCGUGCCAGCAGCCGCGGUAAUACGGAGGAUGCGAGCGUUAUCCGGAUUUAUUGGGUUUAAAGGGUGCGCAGGCGGUCUGUUAAGUCAGCGGUCAAAGCCCGGGGCUCAACCCCGGCCCGCCGUUGAAACUGGCAGUCUCGAGUUGGAGAGAAGUAUGCGGAAUGCGCGGUGUAGCGGUGAAAUGCAUAGAUAUCGCGCAGAACUCCGAUUGCGAAGGCAGCAUGCCGGCUCCACACUGACGCUGAGGCACGAAAGCGUGGGUAUCGAACAGGAUUAGAUACCCCUGUAGUC